UACGGAGGGUGCAAGCGUUGUCCGGAUUUAUUGGGUUUAAAGGGUGCGUAGGCGGCCCGUUAAGUCAGUGGUGAAAGCCUCCAGCUCAACUGGAGAACUGCCAUUGAUACUGGCGGGCUUGAGUACAGACGAGGUUGGCGGAAUUGAUUGUGUAGCGGUCAAAUGCAUAGAUACAAUCAAGAACACCGAUUGCGUAGGCAGCUAACUAGGCUGUAACUGACGCUGAGGCACGAAAGCGUGGGGAGCGAACAGG
rnacentral:rRNA from 1 species